rnacentral:rRNA from 1 species
UACGGAGGGUGCGAGCGUUGUCCGGAAUCACUGGGCGUAAAGGGCGCGUAGGCGGCCUGGUAAGUCGGGGGUGAAAUCCUGCGGCUUAACCGCAGGGCUGCCUUCUAAACUGUCAGGCUGGAGCACAGGAGAGGCAGGUGGAAUUCCCGGUGUAGCGGUGGAAUGCGUAGAGAUCGGGAAGAACACCAGUGGCGAAGGCGGCCUGCUGGGCUGUUGCUGACGCUGAGGCGCGACAGCGUGGGGAGCAAACAGG